CACCAUCCUUCUUAAUUUGAGUUUUGUUGGUUGAUGCAUCAUUGCUUUCCCUUUCCUUUGGCAUAUACUUGUACUCUUUUGGGUUAAUUUUAACUUCAAAAAAGUUUCUUGCUAGCUGUACCUUAGUUAAUUAUUAGCACUUAUCCAAACUCCCUUCUGGUUUGUUUAAUCAAAAAACACAAAGCAAGCCUCCUAGCUAAUUUGAUACACAUAUAAAAAACAGAGUCUUAUGAAAUAAACAAUGAUUAGGGUCAUCUUGGUUUAGUGAUUGUGUUACUUGUUUGUGCUGGUUGCCCCCUUGAUGUUGGAUCAUUGGACUAUUUCAUGAGGUGAAUCUGUCACAUGGCCAAGAGACAAAAAGUUAAGUGCAGUCCGUUGUAUGCUUUUUAAUUUCUCUUGUCAUUGUUUUGAAAUUUUUCAAGGUGCAAAAACAAUAUAUGCAUGCCACUGCAAACAUUACAAUCAAAAUUAUUUUUUAUCUCAUUACAUAUUAUAUAUGUGAAGUCAUGCAUAGAUUGCAGUCAGAAUGAUUAGUCUAGCUAGGGGUAGCAUCUAGCUUCCUCCCUAGUUAAAAGUUCUCUAAAGUUGUGUACUAACCUUCAACCAAAGAAAAUGCUUCUUUUUUUUUUCUUUUUUCUUUUUUCUGUUUAAGAGAACAACUGCGUUUUCUGUUCUAGUUCUUCUUCCUUUUAUUUUUUAUUUGCUCCGAAAAUUCUUAUGAAUUUAAAGUAUGACAACAGUUAUAUAACUUUUCCCCACUCCACUUGCUAUUAGCUAAGACAGUCAGGAUUCCAAUUCUAAAAUGUACAAACUUUACAAUCAAAUGUAGUUAUAAAAUUUAAAAUCUUUAGCAAUGAGGAACUUGAUAAUAACUUUUAUGAGGAAUUAGUUUGGAUAUUUAAAAUAUCUGUAAAGAACAAAUCAUUAAAACAAGUUCUUGAUACAUCCAAAUAUCAACAUUAUUGACAAUUGAUCGUAUCGGAAUAAUUAGUCUUCCUAGAGGUAGUGUCUAGCUUCCUCCCUUGUUGAAGGUUUUUUAGGGUUGUUUACUAACUUGAAACCAAAGCAGAUGCUCUUUUUCUGAUUAAGAGAAUAACUGAUUUUUCUAUUCAUUUCUUUUUAUUUUUUGCUUUUGCUUUUCUCUGAAUUUUUAUUAUUUAAAAGUACGACAACAAUCAUAAAGUUACUAAAAUGACUUGUAUUAGCAUGUUUGAGGACAUUGUUAUUGCAAUUCUCAUAAUGCAACAAUCUUUAGAAUCAAAUCAUGGUUAGUGACAGUUCAAAAUUUUCAACCAUGAGGAGCUUGACCAUAACUUACCUUAAUGGGGAUUUAAUUUUGAUAUGCAAAAUUUCUUCAAUGACCAAGUCAUUACCAUGUUCUUGAUAUAUCCAAAUAUUGUCAUGUUGUUGACAAUUGAUCAGUUCAUUGAUCAACAGUGAAAGGUCUGCAUCAGCAGCAGUAAUAUUCUUGGUGAACUGCUUAAACUAUCAGCAUUGGGAACCUAAGCUUGUACCUAUAUAUUAAUAGAUUUGCCAUCACCAACUAAUUGAGAAGCUCUCACAGGAGACAAUCUUCAAAGUUAAAAGCAUUUAGUCCAAUUUUAUGUGUCACCAAAAAAAUGUUGUGAAUGACUGCAUAUUACUCAAUUGUUAGACCUGUCUUGUCAGAUCUAUGAUUUACCACAAGAGAAGUGCGUUUGGAUCUAUUACUAAAUGACCUUAGCCAUCUGAUGCCUUUAUUCAAUGUUGGGAAAUCAUCAAAGACUUCAUCUUCCCAUGUAAUGCUUGUGAAGAAGAAUUGAUCAUGAGCAGGGCAAAACUGUUCAUGCUCAUUUCACAGGAUAAAACAAACCAGAAGACUUGAUCUCCAUAGGCAAGCAACUGUGCAGAAAAGGUUGAAAAAUAGAGAAGCUAUCCUGCUUUGAUUGGACCUGAUUAGAGAGCUGUACUCUCCAGAAGUAGCUGCUCAAAUUUUAGCUAUCUCAAGCUGUGGAGUUACUGAUAAGAUGCUAUGGCCUCAUACAACACAACAUAGUAUGCACAACAUGUUGAUUAGAGUAACUACUGGAGAGUUCCAAGGGGAGUGUGUCCAGUUGUGGAGGGAUGGCAAGUGUUGCUGACAGUUGAGGGGCACUGGCAGAGCAGAUGCAAAUGGGGUUGUUUUGCCUAUGUAGCUAAAUCAUGGGCUGGCAGAUAAUUUUUCAGCCUGUUCCAGUAAUGCCGUAUGCAAUAAAGUGAAAGCUUACUGUUUGAGAAGCAUAUUUUCCAGGCUUGUUCUGGUUAGUGGAAGAUUGGAGGACCUGUGGAAAAGAAGAAGGUUCCUUGGCAACUUGGUGCGUUGAUUGAAGAACACAAGUGCAAGGAAGUUGGAGAAUGCCAGUGGUGUACAUUUGCUGUGUACAGGAGUCACUAAUGAGGUCUGCACAAGUCUCUAAUGCACAACAAGCAGAUCAAAGUAACUGCAGGAAAGUACCAAGGCAGGUGUAUCAAGUUGUGGAGGGUUGUAGGUGUUGCUGACAAUUUAGGGACGCUAGCAGAGAUAGUGUGAACGGGGUGGUUUUGGCUUUGUAGCCAAAUCAAGUGCUGGCAGGCUGUUGCAGUUCUUCCAUAUGCAACCAAAUGGCAUGCAGCUAGAUGCCCCUGUUCGGAAAGCAUUAACUAAGGCUAUACAGCUUGGUUUUUGUAGACUUGUUUCCAUCAUUUCUAAGAGUGGAGGAACUCCUUUUGAGAAGAAGGUUUCCUUGGCAACUUGUUGUGCUGAUUGAAGGCCACAAGUGCAUAGAAGUAGGAGAACUUUAGUGGUUGUAUAUUUUGUGCAUAAGAGAGUUGCUACAGAUGUUGGGGUCUUGCUGUUGCUUCUAAGUCUUUUGAACAUUUUUGGACUCUACUACCAGCCAACGCUUCAUACAUUAUUUUGUAUUAUAAACCAUACCCAAAAAGAAAAGAGAAGACAAAAAGAAAGAAGUUAAAUUAACACCUUUUCUGGACUAAAGCUAGUUGCAACUACAUGCAAUCAUUAACAUUGUAAGACAUCAUAUAAGAGAUUCAUGUCUUUGCGUGAAAAUCAUAUUCAUCUCUCCUUUUAGAUUCAAAUAAGAGCAAUUGAAUUAACUAUCUAA